UAACAAUUUGGCAUAGGAAAGAGAUAAUAUAAGAAAAAUGGAAGAAUAUAGGGAAAGCACGUAAAUUGGCGGUACAUAAGUACUCGUCACCUCACAUAUACAACGCUCACAUGAAUUUCACAUAGCAAAUAAUUUGAGGUUCCUAAUUCCCUCAAGUCAGGGUUAGACAUAACACUUACCUCGCUCUGAAGGCCACUUAAUACUCAAUCACAGCUUUUUCUCUAGAAUCCACCUCCGAACCACUCGUAUCUACUCAAAAACGACUCAAAAAUAUCAAAUAUUGCUAAAGGAAUCAAUUAUAUUGCAUAAAUUAUAUUUCCCAAAUUUUUAUUCAAAAAGUCAAAAAUUGACCCCGGGCCCGCUUGGUCAAAACCCGAGGUUCGGACCAAAAUCUAUUUACACAUUCAUCCCCGAGCCCGGAUAUAUAAUUAAUUUUGGAAUCCGAUCUCAAAUUGAGGUCUAAAUCUCCAAAUUUCUGAAAUUCCUAGUUUCUACCCAAACCCUUAAUUCUACCAUGAAAACUCUAAAUUUUAGGUUGAAAAUUCAUGAAAUGUAAUGGGUAAUUGAAAAAAAAUGGUUUAGAAUCACUUACCGACACUUUGGGAAAGAACAUAUCUCUUGAAAAUCGCCUCUAGCCCGUUUGGUUCUUGAAAAUGUGAAAUAAUGGCUAAAUCCCGUUUUUGAUUCUGUUUUAAGUGCUGGGCGACAAUGUUCAUCGUGAACGCAUGAACACUGUCGUGUUCGUGAAGAGCAGCCUCCUAAGGACUUACGCGAUCGCGGGAGGCUUUACGCAUUCGCGGGAGAUUUUCAGCCCGCCUUACCUUCGCAUUCGCAUAGAGUUUCCCAGGUCCCCUGCCCAGCCUAGCUAAAGCUAUGCGUUCGCGUUCGACGGGUCGUGUUCGUGUAGAGCAACUCCCCCCAAUGCUCCGCGUUCGUGACCAUCGUCUCGCGUUCGUAUAGAGUAAAAUCCUCCCCAGCCCAGGUUCCCUUUCGUGAUCGCGAGAGUGACUACGCGAUCGCGAAGCACAACAUAUCAGAUACCAGAUACAGCAUAGACACACCAGAUUUUCUAAGUCUAAAAUAUCCUGUAGCCUAUCCGAAACUCACCAGAUCCCUCGGGGCUCCAAACCAAACAUGAACUCAAGUCUAAAAACAUCAUACAAACUUGCUCGCUCGAUCAAAUCGCCAAAAUAAUACCUAAAACUACGAAUUUAGCACCAAAUCGAAUGAAAUUUUCAAGAAAGCUUUAAAAUUCCUAUUUCCACAACCGGACGUCUGAAUCACGUCAAAUCAACUUCGUUUCGCACCAAAUUUUACAGAUAAGUCAUAAAUAUUACAUUGGACCUAUACCGGGCUCCGAAAUCAAAAUACGGACCCGGUAUCAAUAAGGCCAAACAUCAACCAAUUCAUAAAAAAUAAUUGAUUUUCAGACUUUAAAAUUUUCAUCAAAACUUCAUAACUCGGGCUAAGGACCUCGAAAUUCGAUUACGGGCAUACGUCCAGGUCCCAUAAUUCGAUACGGACCCACCGGGACCGUCAAAAUAUGGAUCCGGCCCCGUUUACCAAAACUAUUGACCGAAAUCAACUAAAAUCAACUUUUAAGGCAAACAUUCUUAUUUUCAUCAAUUUUCAACAUAAAAGUUUUUCGGAAACACGCUCGGACUGUGCACGCAAAUCAAGAAGGGUAAAAAUAAAAUUUUUAAGGUUUUAUAGUGCAGAUUCGAGUUAUAAAACAUAAGAUAACCUUUUGGGUCAUCACAUGUAUAGAGAGAAAUUCUCUACAAAUUCAGCCAUGUAUAAAGAAAGAAAAUAUUGCAACAGAUAUUUAUUUUUCUAACUCAUGAGACGAUUUUGACAAAAAUACCUUUCUUGAUAAAAGAUAGGUGUCAAGUGAAUUGUUGGAACAAUUGCUAAAAUUAUUUCUUGACUUCAUGGAUGCAGUUUUCUUGGGAAAGUCUAUAUUAGCAUAAAAGGCAUUUGCUUCUCCUAGAACGUAUGAAUUGAUAGCCAAAUAAGAACUCAGAUCGGAAGGGGAAGAAAUUUGCACCAGCACCCAAAAGAAGAAAAAUAUAAGGAUUUCAGGCAGAUGCCAGAAUACGAAACGUUUGUAACCGUAAAGUAAUUUAAUAGUAAUUUUUAAAAGUUGAGUAGUCUGAACAGG
rnacentral:lncRNA from 1 species